GGUUAAGCGACUAAGCGUACACGGUGGAUGCCCUGGCAGUCAGAGGCGAUGAAGGACGUGCUAAUCUGCGAAAAGCGUCGGUAAGGUGAUAUGAACCGUUAUAACCGGCGAUGUCCGAAUGGGGAAACCCAGUGUGAUUCGUCACACUAUCGUUAACUGAAUACAUAGGUUAACGAGGCGAACCGGGGGAACUGAAACAUCUAAGUACCCCGAGGAAAAGAAAUCAACCGAGAUUCCCCCAGUAGCGGCGAGCGAACGGGGAGCAGCCCAGAGUCUGAAUCAGCUUGUGUGUUAGUGGAACGGUCUGGAAAGUCCGACGGUACAGGGUGAUAGUCCCGUACACCAAAAUGCACAGGUUGUGAACUCGAAGAGUAGGGCGGGACACGUGGUAUCCUGUCUGAAUAUGGGGGGACCAUCCUCCAAGGCUAAAUACUCCUGACUGACCGAUAGUGAACCAGUACCGUGAGGGAAAGGCGAAAAGAACCCCGGCGAGGGGAGUGAAAAAGAACCUGAAACCGUGUACGUACAAGCAGUGGGAGCACCUUCGGGUGUGACUGCGUACCUUUUGUAUAAUGGGUCAGCGACUUAUAUUCUGUAGCAAGGUUAACCGUAUAGGGGAGCCGCAGGGAAACCGAGUCUUAACUGGGCGUUAAGUUGCAGGGUAUAGACCCGAAACCCGGUGAUCUAGCCAUGGGCAGGUUGAAGGUUGGGUAACACUAACUGGAGGACCGAACCGACUAAUGUUGAAAAAUUAGCGGAUGACUUGUGGCUGGGGGUGAAAGGCCAAUCAAACCGGGAGAUAGCUGGUUCUCCCCGAAAGCUAUUUAGGUAGCGCCUCGUGAAUUCAUCUUCGGGGGUAGAGCACUGUUUCGGCUAGGGGUCAUCCCGACUUACCAACCCGAUGCAAACUACGAAUACCGAAGAAUGUUAUCACGGGAGACACACGGCGGGUGCUAACGUCCGUCGUGAAGAGGGAAACAACCCAGACCGCCAGCUAAGGUCCCAAAGUCACAGUUAAGUGGGAAACGAUGUGGGAAGGCACAGACAGCCAGGAUGUUGGCUUAGAAGCAGCCAUCAUUUAAAGAAAGCGUAAUAGCUCACUGGUCGAGUCGGCCUGCGCGGAAGAUGUAACGGGGCUAAACUGUGCACCGAAGCUGCGGCAGCGACACUAUGUGUUGUUGGGUAGGGGAGCGUUCUGUAAGCCUGCGAAGGUGGCCUGUGAGGGUUGCUGGAGGUAUCAGAAGUGCGAAUGCUGACAUAAGUAACGAUAAUGCGGGUGAAAAGCCCGCACGCCGGAAGACCAAGGGUUCCUGUCCAACGUUAAUCGGGGCAGGGUGAGUCGACCCCUAAGGCGAGGCCGAAAGGCGUAGUCGAUGGGAAACAGGUUAAUAUUCCUGUACUUGGUGUUACUGCGAAGGGGGGACGGAGAAGGCUAUGUUAGCCGGGCGACGGUUGUCCCGGUUUAAGCAUGUAGGCGGAGGUUCCAGGUAAAUCCGGUACCUUUUAACGCUGAGGUGUGAUGACGAGGCACUACGGUGCUGAAGUAACAAAUGCCCUGCUUCCAGGAAAAGCCUCUAAGCAUCAGGUAACAUUGAAUCGUACCCCAAACCGACACAGGUGGUCAGGUAGAGAAUACCAAGGCGCUUGAGAGAACUCGGGUGAAGGAACUAGGCAAAAUGGUGCCGUAACUUCGGGAGAAGGCACGCUGAUAUGUAGGUGAAGCCCCUGCGGGUGGAGCUGAAAUCAGUCGAAGAUACCAGCUGGCUGCAACUGUUUAUUAAAAACACAGCACUGUGCAAACACGAAAGUGGACGUAUACGGUGUGACGCCUGCCCGGUGCCGGAAGGUUAAUUGAUGGGGUUAUCCGUAAGGAGAAGCUCUUGAUCGAAGCCCCGGUAAACGGCGGCCGUAACUAUAACGGUCCUAAGGUAGCGAAAUUCCUUGUCGGGUAAGUUCCGACCUGCACGAAUGGCGUAAUGAUGGCCAGGCUGUCUCCACCCGAGACUCAGUGAAAUUGAACUCGCUGUGAAGAUGCAGUGUACCCGCGGCAAGACGGAAAGACCCCGUGAACCUUUACUAUAGCUUGACACUGAACAUUGAGCCUUGAUGUGUAGGAUAGGUGGGAGGCUUUGAAGCGUGGACGCCAGUCUGCGUGGAGCCAACCUUGAAAUACCACCCUUUAAUGUUUGAUGUUCUAACGUUGGCCCCUUAUCGGGGUUGCGGACAGUGUCUGGUGGGUAGUUUGACUGGGGCGGUCUCCUCCCAAAGAGUAACGGAGGAGCACGAAGGUUAGCUAAUCCUGGUCGGACAUCAGGAGGUUAGUGCAAUGGCAUAAGCUAGCUUGACUGCGAGCGUGACGGCGCGAGCAGGUGCGAAAGCAGGUCAUAGUGAUCCGGUGGUUCUGAAUGGAAGGGCCAUCGCUCAACGGAUAAAAGGUACUCCGGGGAUAACAGGCUGAUACCGCCCAAGAGUUCAUAUCGACGGCGGUGUUUGGCACCUCGAUGUCGGCUCAUCACAUCCUGGGGCUGAAGUAGGUCCCAAGGGUAUGGCUGUUCGCCAUUUAAAGUGGUACGCGAGCUGGGUUUAGAACGUCGUGAGACAGUUCGGUCCCUAUCUGCCGUGGGCGCUGGAGAAUUGAGGGGGCUGCUCCUAGUACGAGAGGACCGGAGUGGACGCAUCACUGGUGUUCGGGUUGUCAUGCCAAUGGCAUUGCCCGGUAGCUAAAUGCGGAAGAGAUAAGUGCUGAAAGCAUCUAAGCACGAAACUUGCCCCGAGAUGAGUUCUCCCUGAGACUUUAAGUCUCCUGAAGGAACGUUAAAGACGAUGACGUUGAUAGGUCGGGUGUGUAAGCGUAGCGAUACGUUGAGCUAACCGAUACUAAUGAACCGUGAGGCUUAACCUU
rnacentral:rRNA from 1 species